CGAGAGUCGAGUGACGCGCAUCAGUACGCGAUGAAAGUGAGACGAUGCAUCUUUUCCAUUGGGUUGUAACAUAAGAAAUUUCUGAUGAAUUGCGAGGCAAGCCGUACCUUGAAAAUGUGGGGCUAAACACAAACGAAGGUUAGUGUCGCGUCGGUAAUCUCAGAGUGUUUCUAAGUUACAAUGAGCGACGCAGGAGUGUACCGGGGCAGGAAAGCCGAUGCUAAGCGGAUCAACCACGCCGAACUGUCUUUAACAGAUGCAGCAAAAGAGGCACGUUCUCGUAUAAAAUUUUCAAAGACAGAGAACGAAGAAGAAUAUUUGAACUUGGAAAGGCAGCUUUAUGGUCCUGGGAUAGCAGAUUAACGAUGUGAAUUUGUACCAGCUAUACUACGUGCCGUAGGGUACCUCAAAUUCACUAAACCUCGCGAGAAUGACUCGGAUUUCGCCAUUUUUUAGUAUUUGUCGAUUAUAACUUUUUGUUUAAUACUUAAAUAUAUGCUUUACCACU